rnacentral:rRNA from 1 species
UACGGAGGUGGCAAGCGUUGUUCGGAAUUACUGGGCGUAAAGCGCACGUAGGCGGCAUAGCAAGUCGGAUGUGAAAUCCCUCGGCUUAACCAAGGAAGUGCAUCCGAAACUGCUGUGCUUGAGUACUUAAGAGGAUCGCGGAAUUCCCGGUGUAGAGGUGAAAUUCGUAGAUAUCGGGAGGAACACCAGUGGCGAAGGCGGCGAUCUGGGAAGAUACUGACGCUGAUGCGCGAAAGCCAGGGGAGCAAACGGG